UGCCCAGGCCAUGCUUGCUCCCCGCAGGCAGGCGAGAUUUCGGAACAGCCAGGACCUCCUCCGCAUGGGGGAACCGCUCUAGACGCUCAGAGGGGCGGAGUUGAAACGGACCUGACUGGCCAGUGUCUCAAAGACGUGGAUGGUGACCAGCUCUCUCCAGAACAGAUGGCGCUCCAGCUUUGUGGGAGAAACUUUCAAGGUGUGGAUCACUUGGAAGUCAUUUGAAACCUAUGAAGUUUAACAUCUCUGCUUUGGAUGGAAUGCUCAUCACCUACAGCAGUCAGGGAUGUAACUAAACUUGCUGGGACUGAUGUGUUGAAAUUUUUUGUCUAGAUAGUGGAAACAUCCAGGAGCACUUCUGCUUCCAUGUAGCCUCUUAAUAAUUGAUGUCCCUAAAAUCCUAUGUCCUCAGAAACAGAUACUUUCAGCCAGGGCAGUGGCUCAGGCCUGUAAUCCCAGCACUUCGGGAGGCCAAGGUGGGUGGAUCACCUGAGGCCAGGAGUUCGAGACCAGCUUGGCCAACAUGGUGAAAUCCUGUCUCUACUAUAAAUACAAAAAUGAGCUGGGCAUGGUGGCAUGUGCCCAUAAUCUCAGCUACGUAGGAGGCUGAGGCAGGAGAGUUGCUUGAACCUGGAGGCAGAGGUUGCAGUGAGCAGAGAUUGCACCACUGCACUCCAGCCUGGGCAACAGAAGGAAAAAAAAAAAAAAGGAAGGAAGAAAGUUACUUUCACAAAGUUGGUACCAGCUUUCUUGUUUUUAUAUCUAAUCUGUAAAAAUCUGGCUGUUAAUCUACAUGAAAGUAAUAGUUCAUUCAUGUCACACUUCCAAUAGUUUCUCAUUUGUGAUUUUUGAAUGUGGUACACUGUCAAAAAAGGGAAAACAUGAUUGUGACCAUUGAACUCUAUUACUGUACUUGUGAAGCUUAUAAAGAAUUUACUACUUCAGGAUUAAUUACA
ensembl:lncRNA novel transcript